rnacentral:rRNA from 1 species
AGAGUUGAUCCUGGCUCAGAACGAACGCUGGCGGCGCGUUUAAGCAUGCAAGUCGAGCGGCAGGGGGGCUCGGUCCCCCGAGAGCGGCGGACGGGUGAGUAACACGUGGACAACCUGCCCCCCGGUUCGGGAUAGCCCAGGGAAACCUGGAUCAAUACCGGAUGCGAGGGCGGCCGCACAAGCGGCCGUCGGGAAAGGCGCUUCGGCGCCGCCGGGGGAUGGGUCCGCGUCCCAUUAGCUAGACGGUGGGGUAACGGCCCACCGUGGCGAUGAUGGGUAGCCGGCCUGAGAGGGUGGACGGCCACAUUGGAACUGAGACACGGUCCAGACUCCUACGGGAGGCAGCAGCUAAGAAUCUUCCGCAAUGGGCGAAAGCCUGACGGAGCGACGCCGCCGUGAACGAAGAAGGCCGUGAGGUUGUAAAGUUCUUUUGAAACUGAAGAAUAAGCGUUGUAGGGAAUGACAGCGUGGUGACAGUAGGUUUUGAAUAAGCAACGGCUAAUUACGUGCCAGCCGCCGC